rnacentral:lncRNA from 1 species
CAGAAAAAACAAUGGUUGCCAAGGGAGCAUUAGCUACGGUACCCAGAGAUAAAUGCUGGAAUGGAGGAAAGUGGGAAUCAGAUGGCAAGAUACAGAAAGGUUCUCAGAGUGUUGUGCAUCUGUGUGAAAAUCUAAAAGAAAAAAAACUGGGAUGAGGAUUUAGGAAUAAGGGAAGAUGGACCUCUCAGGUAUAAUGGGAAAGCAAGCAGUGCUGGUCUCCAUGGUUGA